CCUACGGGAGGCAGCAGUGAGGAAUAUUGGUCAAUGGGCGGGAGCCUGAACCAGCCAAGCCGCGUGAAGGAAGAAGGCGCUAGGCGUUGUAAACUUCUUUUGUCGGGGAACAAAGGGCGCCACGCGUGGCGUUGUGAGUGUACCAGAAGAAAAAGCAUCGGCUAACUCCGUGCCAGCAGCCGCGGUAAUACGGAGGAUGCGAGCGUUAUCCGGUUUUAUUGGGUUUAAAGGGUGCGUAGGCGGUCCGGAAAGUCAGCGGUAAAAGCCCGGGGCUAAACCCCGGCGAGCCGUUGAAACUGUCGGACUUGAGUCGGCGAGAAGUACGCGGAAUGCGCGGUGUAGCGGUGAAAUGCAUAGAUAUCGCGCAGAACUCCGAUUGCGAAGGCAGCGUACCGGCGCCGAACUGACGCUGAGGCACGAAAGCGUGGGUAUCGAACAGGAUUAGAUACCCUAGUAGUC
rnacentral:rRNA from 1 species